UCCGUUCACAAAGUUUCUUCCUUAUUGUGCUGGACACAGUUCUAUAAUGUCAAUUGACGUUGUAAGAAAAAUGUACAGAGCUUCAAAGAAUGUACCUUAUUUAUGGCUAGAGGAUGUUUAUGGGAGUGGAUUUUUAUCUUUGCUCCUAAAGCUAAAAAUGUUUAUGCCGAAAUUUUAUUUUGAGCCUGUGAUAAGUAGUUUAAAUGAUAAGCCGUGCAGUUUAUUCUAUCUGAAUAUUUUAAAAAAUGACACGAAUGCAUUAGUUUUAUGGCAUACUAUAACACAACAUGGAACGAAACUAAACUGUACGUGUUAAUAUUGGAUAUGAACAUAUGCGUUUCUUAAUAUCCCCGCACUCUGGUUUACUCCACCAAUAAAAACUGAUCGCCACGAAAAAGCACAACAAUGUUGGAGAGGCGUUAAACACCAAUCAAUCAAUAAUAUUCCCUACUGGACGUUAUUCCUCUUGCUGCAAGUUGUUUUUCAAGGUUGCAUUUCGUGUGCUAGAAAAUAUGCCAGCUCGACGUCAAUGGCGUUAGAUGUCCAAUAUUGACGUCAUCCGAUAUAUGACGUCACGUUUUAAUGAUCGUUACAUUUGAGACCCAUUGACGAAAAAAUAUAACACUGUUAAAUCUAUGGUCUUUUAUUUAAAAAGACACAACAAUGAGGAGAAGCGUGCAUAAAUUAAAUAAUGGACAUAUGUGUCAUUCCGGCAUAGUCGGUGUGGACACAUAUGUCCCUCCGGCAGCAAGAGAGUUAAACAAACAACGAUAAAAACAGUAACUCUAUAUAUUUCGUCAUUCAGUGCAACGCAAAAACCAAAUUAAAAAUCCAUUAUACUUUAAAUGUUAACUCAUGAUGUACAAAAUUAACUUAGUUUCCAGUUAACGUGACCAUAAUGUCCUUGAAACUUACCCAAAAUUAAAUAGUAACCUGAUGCGGGUCGGACUAGCUAUAAGAUAUAAUAAGAUAGAUAUAGUUAUUCCAAUUAAAGGGCAUGUGAAGAACAGGGGUUUUAUGACAAAUUCAUUGAUUUUAAUAUUGACAUAUUAUUUUGAUAAUCAUAUAUGCAUAUUUAUAUAAUUGUCUCAAUUUUGGGAUCUUUCAUCGAAGCCCAGCC
rnacentral:lncRNA from 1 species